GUGGCCGUAGCUCAGUCGGUAGAGCAUCGGAUUGUGGCUCCGAAGGUCGCGGGUUCGAAUCCCGUCGGUCACCC
rnacentral:tRNA from 1 species